rnacentral:rRNA from 1 species
GACGAACGCUGGCGGCGUGCCUAAUACAUGCCAGUAGAACGCUGAAGAGAGGAGCUUGCUCUUCUUGGAUGAGUUGCGAACGGGUGAGUAACGCGUAGGUAACCUGCCUUGUAGCAGGGGAUAACUAUUGGAAACGAUAGCUAACACCGCAUAACAAUGGAUGACACAUGUCAUUUAUUUGAAAGGGGCAAUUGCUCCACUACAAGAUGGACCUGCGUUGUAUUAGCUAGUAGGUGAGGUAAUGGCUCACCUAGGCGACGAUACAUAGCCGACCUGAGAGGGUGAUCGGCCACACUGGGACUGAGACACGGCCCAGACUCCUACGGGAGGCAGCAGUAGGGAAUCUUCGGCAAUGGGGGCAACCCUGACCGAGCAACGCCGCGUGAGUGAAGAAGGGUUUCGGAUCGUAAAGCUCUGUUGUAAGUCAAGAACGGGUGUGAGAGUGGAAAGUUCACACUGUGACGGUAGCUUACCAGAAAGGGACGGCUAACUACGUG